rnacentral:rRNA from 1 species
GACGAACGCUGGCGGCGCGCCUAACACAUGCAAGUCGAACGAGAGAUGAAGAGCUUGCUCUUCAAAUCGAGUGGCGAACGGGUGAGUAACGCGUGAGGGAACCUGCCUUUCAGUGGGGGACAACAGUUGGAAACGACUGCUAAUACCGCAUGAUACUUUUGGAGGCAUCUCUGGAAAGUCAAAGAUUUAUUGCUGAAAGAUGGGCUCGCGUCUGAUUAGCCUAAGUUGGUGAGGUAACGGGCCCACCAAGGCGACGAUCAGUAGCCGACCUGAGAGGGUGAUCGGCCACAUUGGAACUGAGAGACGGUCCAAACUCCUACGGGAGGCAGCAGUGGGGAAUAUUGGGCAAUGGGCGAAAGCCUGACCCAGCAACGCCGCGUGAAGGAAGAAGGUUUUCGGAUCGUAAACUUCUAUCCUUGGUGAAGAUAAUGACGGUAGCCAAGAAGGAAGCCCCGGCUAACUACGUG